CAAGUCGAACGGCAGCGCGAGAGAGCUUGCUCUCUUGGCGGCGAGUGGCGGACGGGUGAGUAAUAUAUCGGAACGUGCCCAGUAGCGGGGGAUAACUACUCGAAAGAGUGGCUAAUACCGCAUACGCCCUACGGGGGAAAGGGGGGGAUCGCAAGACCUCUCACUAUUGGAGCGGCCGAUAUCGGAUUAGCUAGUUGGUGGGGUAAAGGCUCACCAAGGCAACGAUCCGUAGCUGGUUUGAGAGGACGACCAGCCACACUGGGACUGAGACACGGCCCAGACUCCUACGGGAGGCAGCAGUGGGGAAUUUUGGACAAUGGGGGAAACCCUGAUCCAGCCAUCCCGCGUGUAUGAUGAAGGCCUUCGGGUUGUAAAGUACUUUUGGCAGAGAAGAAAAGGUAUCCCCUAAUACGGGAUACUGCUGACGGUAUCUGCAGAAUAAGCACCGGCUAACUACGUGCCAGCAGCCGCGGUAAUACGUAGGGUGCAAGCGUUAAUCGGAAUUACUGGGCGUAAAGCGUGUGUAGGCGGUUCGGAAAGAAAGAUGUGAAAUCCCAGGGCUCAACCUUGGAACUGCAUUUUUAACUGCCGAGCUAGAGUAUGUCAGAGGGGGGUAGAAUUCCACGUGUAGCAGUGAAAUGCGUAGAUAUGUGGAGGAAUACCGAUGGCGAAGGCAGCCCCCUGGGAUAAUACUGACGCUCAGACACGAAAGCGUGCGGAGCAAACAGGAUUAGAUACCCUGGUAGUCCACGCCCUAAACGAUGUCAACUAGCUGUUGGGGCCGUUAGGCCUUAUUAGCGCAGCUAACGCGUGAAGUUGACCGCCUGGGGAGUACGGUCGCAAGAUUAAAACUCAGAGGAAUUGACGGGGACCCGCACAAGCGGUGGAUGAUGUGGAUUAAUUCGAUGCAACGCGAAAAACCUUACCUACCCUUGACAUGUCUGGAAGCCCAAAAGAUUUGGCCGUGCUCGCAGGAGAACCGGAACACAGGUGCUGCAUGGCUGUCGUCACCUCUUGUCCUGAGAUGUGGGGUUAAGUC
rnacentral:rRNA from 1 species